GGUGGAAAAGGGGAGGUGCUGCUGCUGCAAGGAGGAAGAUAAAGUGGAAGAGGAGGAAAUGGAAGAAGAGAGGAAAACUAAAGCACUGCUAGAGAUGAUGUGACUGUGCAGGCCAUGCUUUCCUUUUGCUCCUGCUGCCUGAGGAGAAGAGCUUUUGGAAGGCAGGUUACUACUUGACAAGAAAACAUUAAUGGAUUUAAUGGUUACUGAGAAAGAAGGAAUCCAAGUACCAAAUACUGAGGUUCCAAAAGAGCUAAGACUUUAAAAAGACAGCUUUUUUUCUGGAUUAAGUACAGCAGGAUUUGGGCUUCAGCUUUUAAAUGGGCAAACUCAUAAAUAGUUUUGAAGAUGCAAAGUCAAGAAAAUAGUAAAUAAAGGUCUUUGAAGGAUUAACUGGAAAAAAGAUUCCACUAAUCACUGCUUAUGAAGGGGUGACCUUCAACAUAAAUAGAGCUAUUUUGUCAAACCAGAGUCGAUUUGAUGGAAACAGAACUAACAGGAAAUAAAAUCACAAACUGUCUGCAAUCAAAA